GUGCUGAAAGUCACAGCUACCCCACCCUGAAAACCACAGUUUCAAGAUGCAAAGGAAAUCCUACAUGGCCACUUUUUUUUUACUUAACUAAACAUGUCUGACUGCCAUUUAAAUCCCCAAGGACAAAGCAGACAUGCUU
rnacentral:lncRNA from 1 species